rnacentral:rRNA from 1 species
AUUGAACGCUGGCGGCAGGCUUAACACAUGCAAGUCGAGCGGAGAUGAGGUGCUUGCACCUUAUCUUAGCGGCGGACGGGUGAGUAAUGCUUAGGAAUCUGCCUAUUAGUGGGGGACAACAUUCCGAAAGGAAUGCUAAUACCGCAUACGUCCUACGGGAGAAAGCAGGGGACCUUCGGGCCUUGCGCUAUCAGAUGAGCCUAGGUCGGAUUAGCUAGUUGGUGAGGUAAUGGCUCACCAAGGCGACGAUCCGUAACUGGUCUGAGAGGAUGAUCAGUCACACUGGAACUGAGACACGGUCCAGACUCCUACGGGAGGCAGCAGUGGGGAAUAUUGGACAAUGGGCGAAAGCCUGAUCCAGCCAUGCCGCGUGUGUGAAGAAGGUCUUCGGAUUGUAAAGCACUUUAAGUUGGGAGGAAGGGUUGUACGUUAAUACCGUGCAAUUUUGACGUUACCGACAGAAUAAGCACCGGCUAACUCUGUGCCAGCCGCCGCGGUAACAC